GCUGAUAUAAACGGGAAGAGGGAAGUACUGGUUUGGUGAUACAUUGCUGCCAUAUCCCAGGAGAAGACCUUCAAGCUUUACAUUUGGACUUGGACGCAAGAACUUCAAGAGGAUGGAGUCACUUGUGGUAUUGAUGUGGACUUUGAGGUUUGGCCUUUUACCUAACAAUGGGAAUGAAAACAUCGAUGGCUGUUACUUCCCCUUUUUAGCAUCCUACCCAACUUCCCAGCAAGUGUUGGUGGCUAGAGGCAUUGUUCUUGAAAAACAUGUUGUCUACUUUGCUACUCAGUAUUACAGCACACACCCAAA
rnacentral:lncRNA from 1 species